rnacentral:rRNA from 1 species
UACGUAGGGGGCGAGCGUUGUCCGGAUUUAUUGGGCGUAAAGAGCGUGUAGGCGGCCAGGUAGGUCUGCUGUGAAAACUCGAGGCUCAACCUCGAGACGUCGGCGGAAACCAUCUGGCUAGAGUCCGGAAGAGGAGAGUGGAAUUCCUGGUGUAGCGGUGAAAUGCGCAGAUAUCAGGAGGAACACCCGUGGCGAAGGCGGCUCUCUGGGACGGUACUGACGCUGAGACGCGAAAGCGUGGGGAGCGAACAGG